ensembl:lncRNA
GCUGUGGAUUUAGCUGUUUUGUAACCACUUUUGUUGUUUUUUGUUAUUGAUUCACUGGAUGAAAGAAAGCAGGAUAAGUACCCAAGUGGAAGAAGACAGCCCUGGGCCACACAGCUGGUGGAAGGCUCCCUGAGCCAAGCUGGAGGUGAAUGCCACCAGUCUGCUGUGUCCAUGUCAUUGUCAAGACAGAACUGUGACCACUACUCUCAGUAAAUGUCGCUUCCUGGAAACCUCAGCUCAGGAUUACCUCACCAUUGAUGUCAGAAGCCUCUUGAUGAAAAUGAAAGAGGAUGUUCGUGAGAAUUAGAUGACAUCAUGACUGUACAAAGCGUCAAGUGGAAUGCCUGGUUCCUGGCUGCCUGGUGAAAUCUACACAGCUGAUGACUUUGGGCUCUGGUUUGGACCAUGACAGACCAUCCGUCUACUAUUGACCCUAUAAUCAGGUUGGUGGCUGGAUGUCUCCUGAGCCUAUGUGUGGACAGACCCAGCCACUUCCUGUUUUAGCUGUAUCAAGAAUUACGAUUUUAUUAAGGGAGAUAAUAAACUUAGCAAAUAAGAGUUAUUUUCCUAAACUACGCAGAGAAAACCAGAAAAUAUUCUUACGUAAGAACUGGCAAGUUCUUAGGCCUGAAAUACUAUUCUUCCCAAAUGAUGUUAGGCAUAACAUAUUAGUAAAAUAGUAAUUUUAAAGUUAUCUUUACAGAAGUCUUGUUUACCUGGAGUCUCUCCCCAAACCCUGCCACUUUUUCACGUUUUUGUUUUUUAUUCCCUUUGAUUUCCCUGGAACGUGCUUUCUUACUUGCCUGGUGAUUUCAAGUUUUGCAGAUUUGUUUUUAGUUCAGUUUUUAAACAGGUGUCUUUGUAAGGAGAGUUGAACAGUCAGUGGGCUGAUGCUGUGGUGUUUCAGUUUCUAAGUUUUAAACUUAUGGGACUUCUUUAAAGUGGACACAAAAACUUCAUAAAAGCUUUCAUGUUGACAACACUGGGCCUUUAGGGCUAAGCUCUAAGAAGGAUGAGAAAACAAAGAGUUACAUUGUAACUCCCUUGGUUAAUCUAAUUUAUUCACAUAUUUAACCACAGUCAGCAUGUAGUUGUUUUCCUCAAAGAGGCCCACUUUCCAAAACACAAUUUUCAAAAUGUCUUCUCUCCCCACAAAGCUCCUUGUGUUUCAUUAACCCUUUUUGUGCUUGCCAGCGUUUCUCUCCUAUAGUUAUUUGCCAGCUUAGCAGGACCCUGGUUGAAAAUUGACUCUAACCCUGUUUUCAUGACAUACUCUCUAAGCUACCAAUUAAUCCCAAG